UACGUAGGGUCCGAGCGUUGUCCGGAAUUAUUGGGCGUAAAGGGCUCGUAGGCGGUUCGUCGCGUCGGGAGUGAAAACUCGGAGCUCAACUCCGAGCCUGCUUCCGAUACGGGCAGACUAGAGUGCGGUAGGGGAGACUGGAAUUCCUGGUGUAGCGGUGGAAUGCGCAGAUAUCAGGAGGAACACCGGUGGCGAAGGCGGCUUGCUGGGCCUUACCUGACGCUGAGGCGCGAAAGCCAGGGGAGCAAACGGG
rnacentral:rRNA from 1 species